rnacentral:rRNA from 1 species
UACGGAAGGUCCGGGCGUUAUCCGGAUUUAUUGGGUUUAAAGGGAGCGUAGGCCGCCAGAUAAGCGUGUUGUGAAAUGUACCGGCUCAACCGGUGAAUUGCAGCGCGAACUGUUUGGCUUGAGUGCACGGUAAGCAGGCGGAAUUCAUGGUGUAGCGGUGAAAUGCUUAGAUAUCAUGAAGAACUCCGAUUGCGAAGGCAGCUUGCUGCAGUGCGACUGACGCUGAUGCUCGAAGGUGCGGGUAUCAAACAGG